rnacentral:rRNA from 1 species
UACGUAGGGUGCAAGCGUUAAUCGGAAUUACUGGGCGUAAAGCGUGCGCAGGCGGUUGUGCAAGACAGAUGUGAAAUCCCCGGGCUUAACCUGGGAAUUGCAUUUGUGACUGCACGGCUAGAGUGUGUCAGAGGGGGGUAGAAUUCCACGUGUAGCAGUGAAAUGCGUAGAUAUCUGGAGGAAUACCGGUGGCGAAGGCGGCAUCCUGGACCGGCAUUGACGCUGAGGAGCGAAAGCCAGGGGAGCAAACGGG